rnacentral:rRNA from 1 species
UACAGAGGGUGCGAGCGUUAAUCGGAAUUACUGGGCGUAAAGCGUGCGUAGACGGUUUCGUAAGUCGGGUGUGAAAUCCCCGGGCUUAACCUGGGAACUGCAGUCGAGACUGCUUUGCUUGAGUAUGGGAGAGGGAGGUGGAAUUUCCGGUGUAGCGGUGAAAUGCGUAGAUAUCGGAAGGAACAUCAGUGGCGAAAGCGACCUCCUGGACCAAUACUGACACUCAAGUGCGAAAGCGUGGGGAGCAAACAGG